ACUCGUAAGUAUUUUAAAAAAUUUUCUAAAAAAUGUACAAUAGUCGCGUAUUUCGAUGCGUAUUGUUCCUGGUCUAUGGGGAGGUCCCGACGUUUUCGCGAGACGACUCACCGCCAUCUGAUUGCAUAUUCAAAUUCUCCGUGUUAUAACGAAAAUUUGCAUACUACUUAGAAAGUGGCGACGGACUCGUAAGUAUUUUAAAAAAUUUUUUAAAAAAUGUACAAUAGUCGCGUAUUUCGAUGCGUGGUGCUUCCUGUAUAUGGUGAGCUCCCGACGUUUUCGCGAGACGACUCACCGCCAUCUGAUUGCAUAUUCAAAUUCUCCGUGUUAUAACGAAAAUUUGCAUACUACUUAGAAAGUGGCGACGGACCCGUAAGUAUUUUAAAAAAAUUCUCAAAAAAUGUACAUUAGUCGCGUAUUUCGAUGCGUAUUGUUCCUGGUCUAUGGGGAGGUCCCGACGUUUUCGCGAGACGACUCACCGCCAUCUAAUUGCAUAUUCAAAUUCUCCGUGUUAUAACGAAAAUUUGCAUACUACUUAGAAAGUGGCGACGGACCCGUAAGUAUUUUAAAAAAAUUCUCAAAAAAUGUACAUUAGUCGCGUAUUUCGAUGCGUAUUGUUCCUGGUCUAUGGGGAGGUCCCGACGUUUUCGCGAGACGACUAACCGCCAUCUGAUUGCAUAUUCAAAUUCUCCGUGUUAUAACGAAAAUUUGCAUACUACUUAGAAAGUGGCGACGGACUCGUAAGUAUUUUAAAAAAUUUUUUAAAAAAUGUACAAUAGUCGCAUAUUUCGAUGCGUGGUGCUUCCGGUAUAUGAUGAGCUCCCGACGUUUUCGCGAGACGACUCACCGCCAUCUGAUUGCAUAUUCAAAUUCUCCGUGUUAUAACGAAAAUUUGCAUACUACUUAGAAAGUGGCGACGGACCCGUAAGUAUUUUAAAAAAAUUCUCAAAAAAUGUACAUUAGUCGCGUAUUUCGAUGCGUAUUGUUCCUGGUCUAUGGGGAGGUCCCGACGUUUUCGCGAGACGACUCACCGCCAUCUAAUUGCAUAUUCAAAUUCUCCGUGUUAUAACGAAAAUUUGCAUACUACUUAGAAAGUGGCGACGGACCCGUAAGUAUUUUAAAAAAAUUCUCAAAAAAUGUACAUUAGUCGCGUAUUUCGAUGCGUAUUGUUCCUGGUCUAUGGGGAGGUCCCGACGUUUUCGCGAGACGACUCACCGCCAUCUAAUUGCAUAUUCAAAUUCUCCGUGUUAUAACG